rnacentral:rRNA from 1 species
CAGCUUGACUAUUACCUUUAGAAGAAGCACCGGCUAACUCCGUGCCAGCAGCCGCGGUAAUACGGAGGGUGCAAGCGUUUAAUCGGAAUUACUGGGCGUAAAGCGUGCGUAGGCGGUUCGUUAAGUCAGAUGUGAAAGCCCCGGCUUAACCUGGGAACUGCAUUUGAAACUGGUGGACUUGAGUUGAGUAGAGGGGAGUGGAAUUUCAGGUGUAGCGGUGAAAUGCGUAGAUAUCUGAAGGAACACCAGUGGCGAAGGCGACUCCCCUGGACUCAAACUGACGCUGAGGUACGAAAGCGUGGGUAGCAAACAGGAUUAGAUACCCUGGUAGUCCACGCUGUAAACGAUGUCAACUAGCCGUUGGUCCUAUUUACAGGAUUAGUGGCGCAGCUAACGCAUUAAGUUGACCGCCUGGGGAGUACGGCCGCAAGGUUAAAACUCAAAUGAAUUGACGGGGGC